rnacentral:RNase_P_RNA from 1 species
AAGGUUCGCCGGGUGAUCGCGCUUGACUUCGGUCAGGUGAGGAAAGUCCGAACUUCAUAGAGCAGAGCGCCGGCUAACGGCCGGGUGUGGUAACGCAACGGAAAGUGCCACAGAAAAAAUACCGCCCGCAAGGGUAAGGGUGAAAAGGUGCGGUAAGAGCGCACCGCGCUUCCGGUAACGGAAGUGGCAGGGAAAACCCCGCUCGAAGCAAGGCCAUGUAUACCGGGAGUCCGCGCGGCUCGCACGGCACAAAACCCGGUGGGUAGGCCGCCCGAGGGAAUGAGUAAUCAUUCUCCCAGAUAGAUGAUCACCGCCCGCAAGGGUACAGAAUUCGGCUUACAGGCGAACCGGAUUU